rnacentral:rRNA from 1 species
AUUGAACGCUGGCGGCAGGCCUAACACAUGCAAGUCGAACGAGUGGCGGACGGGUGAGUAAUGUCUGGGAAACUGCCUGAUGGAGGGGGAUAACUACUGGAAACGGUAGCUAAUACCGCAUACCAUCAAAUGUGCCCAGAUGGGAUUAGCGAGUUGGUGGGGUAACGGCUCACCAAGGCGACGAGCCCUAGCUGGUCGGGGAGGAUGACCAGCCACACUGGAACCGAGAAACGGUCCAGACUCCUCCGGGAGGAAGCAGUGGGGAAUAUUGCACAAUGGGCGCAGGCCGGAUGCAGCCACGCCGCGUGUAUGAAGAAGGCCUUCGGGUUGUGAAGUACUUUCAGCGGGGAGGCGUUACCCGCAGAAGAAGCACCGGCUAACUCCGUGCCAGCAGCCGCGGUAAUUC